GAUUUUCACCUUCAUGCCUGACAAGGGUCUUAAAUCUCAUUUCUUCGACGGACGAAUCUCGAGCAAAUUUCAGUUCUUGGAGUCCAAGUUCCGUUCUCUUCUCUUCUCUUCUCUUCCUCCACUUUUCUCUCCAUUUUUCUCUCUCUCUCUCUCUCUUUCUCUCUCUCUCUCUCUCUCUAAUCCAUUUCUUUGGCUUUGUCAUAUUUUGAUUUUCUUUACCCAACUACAAAGCAGAAAAUUAGAACUGAAGGACAAUAAUCACAGAGAAAGAGAGAGAAAGAAGCAGAAGAAGACGAUGGAUUAGGCCAUUGUAUUCUCUUUAUUUGGACACCUUUUGAUCCUGCCGUUUCAUCUUUGAUCUCCUUUUUUUCUCACUUCUCAGUUCGGUGGAUUUCAACAAGGCCACAUGUGACUUUGAAGUCUGGCAGAUAUAUGGAAUUCCCUGUAAACAUUCCAUGGCAUGUAUCACUCACUUGGGGAUCAGCCUUAUUCCAUACGUGGCCAGUUGCUUGUUAAAGGAAGCAUAUAUGUUGACCUAUGCAGGGAAGACUCAUCCAAUACCUGAUGAAUCAUCCUAGCCACAAAUGGAAGGUGACAAAGUCCAUCCCCCUGCAAACAAAAGAAAGCCUGGCAAACCCAAACUUGUAAGGAGAAUGGAGUCUGAUGAGCUAGUCUCACAUAAAAGAUCAUAUGUUCUAAAGUGUGGGGUUUGCAAAGCCAUGGGUCUUAACAAGGGGACAUGCCCAAAGGUUCCUUUACAUGCAAAGAAGAAGAAAAAAUCAUAUGGUACUGCUAGAGGUGAAGGAAGCCUUAUAAAUGCCCAGGAACAUCCAACAGUUGAUACCCAGAAAAAAGAAAAGGAACAUGCUAGAGUUGAUGUUGCCUAAGGAACUUCACAGGUAUAUAUUGCUGCCCAAGGAAUGCACAGGGAACUUCUUCAUCCCAGCAUCAAGGCUCAUCAUCCCAACCCAUUGUGACCCAAGUCCUUUGGUUUUCUCAACCAUAGCCACUGCAACAAGUCCACAGCAUCAAGUUCAGUAAUAUUUUGAUAAAUAGUUAUGGAUUUUGAUAUCAGAUUGUACAUUGGGGGCUUUAGUACAUUUAAAUGCUUUUUGGUUGUAUUGAGGAAUGCAAUUUGCGGUUGAAAUUGGAUGCAAAUUGUUUCUUCAAUGCAGGUUAGUGAUAGGAAUAUUUUCAUAGGUGUACAUGGUGACUUUCAUUAAGCAAAUGUACAUGAAGGCUAGGGUACAUAUAGUGCAUAGCAGAGAGGCUGUGUCACCUCUUUUUUUUUUUUUUUUUUGAGACACAGCACACAUUUAAAUGUGUACAAAAUAUUAGUCCAAUAGGAUUGCAACCCUGUUACUUUUUGUAUAGCCAAUGACUCUUAUGACACUUUGAAAUAUAUUUUGUUACAU